rnacentral:lncRNA from 1 species
CCAAAUUUAAAGACCUGCCAAGGACCAGAUGAUUUAUUUAAUUUUUAAUGCCUUGAUAAAGAAAACCAUGGAAUUCAAUAGGAUGUCCUUUGUUUUUCACGACUGUGUAUAGGCCUACAUACAGACAAAUAAGGAACUAAAACAUGACAACUCAUCACAAACAACUGAUCAGUUUCACUCACUCAAUAUAGGAUACAAGACCUUCUCUCAGUCAUUGAAAAACAGAACAAACACAUUUCUAGUGGUUGACCAAAUUUUAUUUUUUUUCCAAACUUAUAUUCCGCUGAGUAUGUGUAUAUUUCCUUCUGUCAUGAGAGAGCUGCUGUUGCAAAGCUGUUGAUUUAUUGAUGGUAAGGUGCUGAAAACAACCUGCCAAUCAAAGUACAAAGCCACGCCUCCUUAGAUCUGAUGGGCGGGAACCAUUGUGUGUCUAUAAACUCUCAAAUCCUCAUUCUGAAGCUCAGAUCACACAGCAACAGCAGAGAUGUCAGAUCUGCAGCGCAUGUUUCCUCUCUUCAGCUCAUCACAAGAUACAGACGGAGUUUAGACAUGAAAUAACAUACAGACAUAUUCUACAGCAACAGAAACCACAGACGAGCAAAAACCAACAGGACAGAGAGAAAAAUGGAGGCCAGAAAUGAAACACAAACCAAUGAAUCACAAGAGAAAAGCAGAAAGAGACUUAUUAAACAGAAAAGUAUGGAGAAAAUAAAACCAAAGUUCUCAGAUGAUCCAGACGGACCUGCAGCAUGUUCUGAAGAACACACAACAUCAGUGACCCCCAGAUACCAGCAGCUGAAGACCUGAUCAUCAUCAUCAUCAUCAUCACAGACUCCAUCACUCCAGGCUACAGUCUGUUCAGAUCCUGGACUUCUUCAGAUUUUACAGACUCAUCCAAAACACAAACUAACAGACUGAUGAACGGUUUCUUUCUCAGAUCUGUGUCUCAAUACUGCACAGCUGCUGCACUUUACUGACAACAUUCUGCACAUCACAGUUUCCCUGAAUUUCAUAGUAAAUACAUGCACAAGGAUUCAAUAUAUGUAGCCUAUAAUAUUUGUCUAAAGACAUAGAGACACCCUGGACAGACGGCUGGUCCAUCACAAAGCAACACGCAUUCAUUCAAACAAACAUCUCAGUGUCUUCAGUUUGAAAAAAGAAAAAAUGAGAAGAAAUGUAUUUCGUGUUAAACAGGUUGUGCUUGAAAUAAAGCUGCUCUUAAUGUUUUUUUUUUUGAUGACUGCAGUAUGUAUAUAUAUAUAUAUUUUUUUUUUUUUAUAGGCCAAUAAUUCAUUGUACAAUAGAUGUGUUUUAAAAGACCUUUUUUUAAAAACAUUUUCAA